rnacentral:lncRNA from 7 species
AGAGCGGAUCGCCCCGUGGAAGCCUCCGACCCCCCUCCGCCGGUGCAGCUCCUCCCGAUGCUCUGCUUCGGUUCCUACGGGGGGAGAAAGGAAUAGGGCGGGGGGGGGGGCGCAGAGGAGGGUCGGCGGCUGCAUCAUUUAAAAGGAGAUCCUUCUGGAACAGCGUUGCCCCCUCCCGGAGCCGAAGGACGGAGCGCGGGGCUGAGGGGAUGAAGGAGCGCGGUGGGGUCCUCCUCACCCCCGCCCUCCCUCCCCACUGUGUGCAUGGGAUGAGCGCUUCGGGAUCGGCCCUUCGGGUUUCAUUUUAGAAAGCACUCCGACUUAUUAUUAUUAUUGGUGCGCGUGUGAAAAAUGCCCAAUGCAAUGAAAUAAAAGGAGGAAUGGCACAGGAGGAGGGCAG